rnacentral:rRNA from 1 species
GGUUAACGCUGGCGGCGUGCAUAACACAUUCAAGUCGAACGGUGACGGGACUUCGGUCCCUGAUCAGUGGCGGACGGGUGAGUAACGCGUGAGCAACCUGCCCUUGUGUGGGGGAUAACGUCUGGAAACGGACGCUAAUACCGCAUAACCCAAUAGUACGGCAUCGUACAGUUGGCAAAGAUUUAUUGCACAAGGAUGGGCUCGCGUCUGAUUAGAUAGUUGGUGAGGUAACGGCUCACCAAGUCGACGAUCAGUAGCCGGACUGAGAGGUUGAACGGCCACAUUGGAACUGAGAUACGGUCCAG